rnacentral:rRNA from 1 species
CCUACGGGAGGCAGCAGUGAGGAAUAUUGGUCAAUGGGCGAGAGCCUGAACCAGCCAAGUCGCGUGAAGGAUGAAGGAUCUAUGGUUUGUAAACUUCUUUUAUAUGGGAAUAAAGUGAGGAACGUGUUCCUUUUUGUAUGUACCAUAUGAAUAAGCCUCGGCGAACUCCGUGCCAGCAGCCGCGGUAAUACGGAGGAUGCGAGCGUUAUCCGGAUUUAUUGGGUUUAAAGGGUGCGUAGGUGGUUAAUUAAGUCAGCGGUGAAAGUUUGUGGCUCAACCAUAAAAUUGCCGUUGAAACUGGUUGACUUGAGUAUGUGAGAGGUAGGCGGAAUGCGUGGUGUAGCGGUGAAAUGCAUAGAUAUCACGCAGAACUCCGAUUGCGAAGGCAGCAUACUAGACUAUAACUGACGCUGAGGCACGAAAGCGUGGGGAUCGAACAGGAUUAGAUACCCGUGUAGUC